UACGUAGGGUGCGAGCGUUGUCCGGAAUUACUGGGCGUAAAGCGCGUGUAGGUGGUGGGACAAGUCUGCUGUGAAAGCGCCUGGCUUAACCAGGCGAGGUCGGCGGAAACUGUCCGACUAGAGGACGGUAGAGGGGGGUGGAAUUCCCGGUGUAGUGGUGAAAUGCGUAGAGAUCCGGAGGAACACCAGUGGCGAAGGCGACACGCUGGGCCGUACCUGACACUGAACCGCGACAGGCAUGGGGAGCAAACAGG
rnacentral:rRNA from 1 species